rnacentral:rRNA from 1 species
UACGUAGGGGGCAAGCGUUGUCCGGAUUUAUUGGGCGUAAAGAGCGUGUAGGCGGCUAGGUAGGUCCGUUGUGAAAACUCGAGGCUCAACCUCGAGACGUCGGCGGAAACCAUCUGGCUAGAGUCCGGAAGGAGGAGAGUGGAAUUCCGUGGUGUAGCGGUGAAAUGCGCAGAUAUCAGGAAGAACACCCGUGGCGAAGGCGGCUCUCUGGGACGGUACUGACGCUGAGACGCGAAAGCGUGGGGAGCGAACAGG